UACGAAGGGGGACUAGCGUUGUUCGGAUUUACUGGGCGUAAAGCGCGCGUAGGCGGAUCGCUAAGUCAGGGGUGAAAUCCCAGGGCUCAACCCUGGAACUGCCUUUUGAUACUGACGGUCUGGAGAUCGGGAGAGGUUGGUGGAAUUCCGAGUGUAGAGGUGAAAUUCGUAGAUAUUCGGAGGAACACCAGAAGCGAAGGCGGCCAACUGGCCCGAUACUGACGCUGAGGCGCCGAAAGCGUGGGGGAGCAAACAGGAUUGAGAAACCCCGGU
rnacentral:rRNA from 1 species